CAUAUAAGGCCUUUGUCGAGCAUAGGAAUCUCGAGGUGCGGGAGUACUUGCAACGAGUGAAGGCAAACGAUGAUUACAACCGUCAGAUGAUGACGGCUAUGUUGGCGUCUUGGAGUAACCGCACGGAUCCACCACAAAUGGGACCCCCACCACCACCUGCGGGAGAACCCCCACACGUGCCCACGUUCGAUGAAUGGGUGGCACUAGGCAGUGAUAGUCCGGGGACCGGUGGCUCGACUCCUGCUUCGUCGACCCCGGUCACUCCGAUCUGGCAGAGUGGUGCUGGUCUUGGCGGUGGCGGUUUUGGCGGAGGUGGUCUUGGCGGUGGUGGUUUUGGCGGAGGUGGUCUUGGCGGUGGUGGUUUUGGCGGAGGUGGUCUUGGCGGCGGCGGUCUUGCCUGAUGUCGGUG